GCCCACAUUCACGGGGGGGGGGAGCCCAGCAGCCCCCACAAGUGGGCCAAAGAGGUGGGCAAAGCUCUGGCAUCACCAGCCAGCCACGCCCAGCUCUGCCAUUGUGACCUUGGCAAACUAACCAACCUCUCUGAGCCUCGCUUUCUUUGUUCGUACGUGGGUGGGUUUGAAAAAUUAAGGAGCUCACGCAUUUCAAGGGCUCAGAACACGGCUGAGCUUCCAGCUGACCUUUGCUCUCCCACCGGCCCCGGCCACGCUGAGCAGUCUGGAUUUGCUCCGUUUCCAAGGCAGGGACGCUCUGCUUUCUUUUCGCAGGCUGUUAAGUGAUCCAGCAGAGGAAGGAGGUCUGCACCGAGAGGUCGCGGCGACACAGCUGUGGGUCGCCAGAGCUGCCUCCCGCUCAUGACUCACUUUCUCAAAAAAGACACGCCAGGGAUGCCGACACUAAGGGGGAGGGUUUCUUCAAUUCUCUAGAGUCAAGUGUUCUUGAUGUAAAUGUCUCCUAGCCCAUUUCCCACAUGAUCAACCCACACAGUCUUAUCUUCGAAUGACUCAGGCCGUGGGUCCAGGAGCUGGCAGGCGUUUUUACAGACGUGUUGGGCUCAGGGUCGGAGCCCGGGAAGUCUCUCGUAUCUGCCUCGCUAUCUUUCCUCCUCUGUGUCUGCACAUCCUGAACUCUCUCCAGCUGAAGUUCAUUAAAGCUGAGGAAGUCUGCCUACCGGACAGUCGUGCAGACAUGCGACCCCCACGGGGAAGAGCCCACAUGGGAAGGCCAGUGGUGCUGGCUGCCGCCCUCCCUGGCCCAGCUGCACUGCCAGUCUCAGUCCCACGGGAGCCCCAGGAUCGGGGCCACACGAACACCUUGACGGGCCCGAACCGGAGAAGACUGAGUACUCCCUGACUCUGCACUUAAGACACGAAUAGUGCUCAAGUACUGGGGCGCCUGGGUGGCUCGGUCAUUUAAGAGUCCAACUCGUGGUUUUGGCUCAGGCCAUGAUCUCACGGUUCAUGAGUUCAAGCCCCACUUCGGGCUUUGUGCUGAUGGUGUUGAGCCUGCUUGGGAUUCUCACUCUCUCCCUCUCUCUCUCUCUGCCCCUCCCCUGCUCUCCUUCUCUCAAAAUAAAUAAACUUAAAAAGAAAAAAAAAAAAAGAAUACUCCUCAACUAUAAACCAAGCACAAAGAAGUCCUGCAAAGUCAUUAUCCCGCUAACUACU